rnacentral:rRNA from 1 species
GGUUCAUCAUGUACACCCGACUGUGAUGAGAACUUAAAGCCGAUUGUAGGUAAGACAUUCGAGAGUAUGGAAGCUGUCGAGAAGUUUUACAAGGCUUACGCACACAGUGUUGGAUUUUCAGUUCGAAUUGGGCAGAAAAGGACCGUAGGUAAUGUGGUGGUUUGGAGGAGAUUUCUUUGUUGCAAAGCAGGUUUCCGAACAAUAAAGGAGGAGGAACGAAAGAAGAAUUCAAAGGGAGAGAAGACAAGAACACAUGCAAGAAAGAUUACUAGAUGUGGUUGUGAGGCCAUGAUAACUGUCAAGCAUAUGCAGGAUGGCAAAUAUUGUAUAUCAUAUUUUCAAGAAGAACACACCCAUGAAUUCGUCACACCUAGCAAGCAGCAUUUAAUCAAGUCUAACAGAGAAGUCAGCGAGAAGGCCAAGACCACACUAUUCACAUGUCAUGCAGCUAGCAUUGGCACAUCUGGGGCCUUCCGAUUGCUUCGUGUUGGUGAGGGCGGAUUCUAGUUCGUGGGGUGGACAAAGAGAGACUUGCAAAACUAUCACCGCGACAUGCGAAGCACCUUCAAAGAUACAGAUGCUCAAAUGUUCAUUGACAACCUUAGAAAGAGGAAGAAAAUCAACCCAGGAUUCUUCUUUGACUAUGUUCUUGAUGAUAAAAACCGACUGACGCGUGUCUUUUGGGCAGAUGCUUUUUGUCGGAAGAAUUAUGCUUUAUUUGGCGAAAUGGUGUCUUUUGACUCCACAUAUAGCACCAAUCAGUAUAAGAUGAUAUUUUGUCCUUUCACAGGAAUAAACCACCAUAUGGGAUCAGUUUUCUAUGGUGCCGCCUUGAUUGUUGAUGAGAAGGUAGAGUCAUAUAAAUGGGUGUUCGAAACAUUCUUGAAAGCAAUGGAUGGUGUAGCACCGAGGCUUAUAGUAACUGAUGAAGAUGCUAGUAUGAAGGCUGCCCUUGAUGAAGUUAUGCCGAACACCGUCCAUAGGUUAUGCAUGUGGCAUAUAAUGAGAAAGCUUCCAGAAAAGGUUGGUCCUCCACUGAGAGAGGAUGAACAUUUCUACAGUUCAGUUAACUCAUGUGUAUGGGGAUCUGAAAAUCCAACUGAAUUUGAGGCUAAGUGGUCUUCCAUUUCUGAAUUUGGACUUGAGGAAAACACAUGGUUUGCUAGGAGAUAUGAAAUUCGGAAGUCAUGGAUACCGGCCUAUUUCAGAGGUGUAUUCAUGGGUGAAAUUCUGAGAACCACUUCAAGGUCAGAGAGCGCUAACUCAUUCUUCAACCACUUUAUUGGUUACAAGCAUGCUUUAGUGGAGUUUUGGAUUAGGAUUGGUACAGCCCUAGAGGAACAUCGUCAAAAUGAACUCAAGGCUGACCAUGAUUGCCUCAGUUCCAUGCCUCCUCUGAUUACAUCCUGGGAGAUCGAGAAGCAUGCUAGCAUGUACUUCACCCAUGAGGUUUUCAAAGCUUUUCAGAAGGAAGUGUGUGCAGCUAGAGAACAUUGCUUGAUUGAAAGCAUAUCGCAAGAAGGUGAUGUGAAAACCACGGUUGUAGGUGGUGACCGCUCUUCCAAGUCUAGAGAAGUUCAAUUCAACACAUCAACCAUGAGCGCUCACUGCUCUUGCAUGUUAUUUGAGACACGUGGAAUUCCAUGCCGACAUAUUAUCAUGGUUUUGAGAGGUGCAAAGUUGAAUGAGCUCCCUAGUCAGUUCAUUUUGGAUAGGUGGAAGAAAACAGUUAAUAGGAGAGCCCUAUAUGACAGCUUUGGUAACUUACUUGAAGAAAAUGAGAGGUUACUGCCAAUAAUCCUAGUAGACAAGAUGAAUUUGAGGCAUACAUUGGUUGUACUAUGCCCGGUGAAGUUGAAAUCCAUCCACCAACUGAUGUCCACACAAAGGGAAGAUGCAAAAGAAUUAAGGGACACUUAGACAAGGGUGGGGAAGGGAAGCAAAAUAAGGAUGGGAAAGGAAAGCAAAAUAAGAAUGGAGAGGGGAAGAAAACUGCUGCAGGACCCAAAAAGCCUCGCACAUGCAAGGCGUGCAAGCAAGUUGGUUUCCAUGAUAGUCGUACGUGCCCUAACAAGAGCAAAGAAAUGUAAAGGUAGUUGUCAUACAAAUAGAAUGAUUACUAUUUCAGAAUUCAUUUGUCCAAUACUAACAGUUGUGUUCAUGUCUAUGUGCAGCUUCUUUUAUUUGAUUCGAGGCACCCAGUUGCUUUUAUUUUGGUGUACUUGA